rnacentral:tRNA from 2 species
GCUCCUGUGGCGAAAUUGGCAUACGCGGCAGACUUAAAAUCUGUUUUUUUGCGGGUUCAAAUCCCGCCAGGAGUA